CGCCGCGUGAGUGAAGAAGGUUUUCGGAUCGUAAAACUCUGUUGUUAGAGAAGAACAAGGGUGAGAGUAACUGUUCACCCCUUGACGGUAUCUAACCAGAAAGCCACGGCUAACUACGUGCCAGCAGCCGCGGUAAUACGUAGGUGGCAAGCGUUGUCCGGAUUUAUUGGGCGUAAAGCGAGCGCAGGCGGUUUCUUAAGUCUGAUGUGAAAGCCCCCGGCUCAACCGGGGAGGGUCAUUGGAAACUGGGAGACUUGAGUGCAGAAGAGGAGAGUGGAAUUCCAUGUGUAGCGGUGAAAUGCGUAGAUAUAUGGAGGAACACCAGUGGCGAAGGCGGCUCUCUGGUCUGUAACUGACGCUGAGGCUCGAAAGCGUGGGGAGCA
rnacentral:rRNA from 1 species